rnacentral:rRNA from 1 species
AUUGAACGCUGGCGGCAUGCCUUACACAUGCAAGUCGAACGGCAGCGGACCUUCGGUGCCGGCGAGUGGCGAACGGGUGAGUAAUAUAUCGGAACGUACCUUUCAGUGGGGGAGUAACGUAGCGAAAGUUACGCUAAUACCGCAUAUUCUGUGAGCAGGAAAGCAGGGGAGUCGCAAGACCUUGCGCUGAUUGAGCGGCCGAUAUCAGAUUAGCUAGUUGGUGAGGUAAAAGGCUCACCAAGGCGACGAUCUGUAGCGGGUCUGAGAGGAUGAUCCCGCCACACUGGAACUGAGACACGGUCCAGACUCCUACGGGAGGCAGCAGU